AAUCAACGCUGGCGGCGUGCCUAACACAUGCAAGUCGAACGCGAAAGUCCCGCAAGGGAUAAGUAGCGUGGCAAACGGGUGAGUAACACGUGGGUGACCUGCCUUCGAGUGGGGGAUAACGUCCCGAAAGGGACGCUAAUACCGCAUGACAUCCUGCCUUUGAACAGGUGGAGAUCAAAGCUGGGGAUCGCAAGACCUAGCGCUGGAAGAGGGGCCCGCGCCUGAUUAGCAGUUGGUGGGUAACGGCUCACCAAGGCAACGAUCAGUAUCCGGCCUGAGAGGGCGGACGGACACACUGGGACUGAGACACGGCCCAGACUCCUACGGGAGGCAGCAGUGGGGAAUUGUUCGCAAUGGGCGCAAGCCUGACGACGCAACGCCGCGUGGAGGAUG
rnacentral:rRNA from 1 species